rnacentral:tRNA from 1 species
UAUAUUUUAGUAUAUGAUGUACGAAGGUUUUUGACACUUUAAGAAAUAGUUUAAUUCUAUUAAAUGUAA